rnacentral:lncRNA from 10 species
UGGGCGAGGAGUACAAAGGACCCCAGGCGAAGCCGGCGCCGGGAGGCAGAGCUGACUCCCGCGGGACUCUACCGGCCUGCGAGCGUUCGUCACGUGCUCGGUGGCUGAGGGGCCGUCCCGGCCGGGCGGGCUUCACCGCGUGGGCGCGGCAGUCGCCACUCACCGAGGUUGACGACCUUGAGCGCCGUGAAGAAGCGGUUCUGCCGGGCCAGGUCCUGCCAGGGAGCCUUGGAGCAGUGGCGUGGGUUCUCACUAUGUUGCUUAAGCUGGUCCAGAACUCAAGCCAGUCUCUCACUUCAGCCUCUUGAGUCGUUGGGAUUACAGAAGCCACCAUGUCCAACUAGACAAGAUCUUGUUGCCCAGGCUGGUCUCAAACUCCUGCGUUCAAAUGAUACUCUCGCCUUGGCCUCCAAAAGUGUUGGGAUUGCAGACCUGAGCUACUAUGCCUGGCUGAAUUCUAUUUCUAUUGGAUUGGUUGUAAAGAAGUGCAUUGUAGCCUGCAAAGGAGCAGGGCCAGUGGGGUGGAGAGGGCAGAAGUGCUACAGAGGCCCCUGCUCUCCACUGCCCUGACUGCUACUGUGCUGGAUGCCGUGUGAACCACAGCUGCAUCUGGAGGCCUUGGGCAGGCUUUUCCAAUUUGGAGGCACAAAUAAGUGAGAACUUGGGGAUCCACUGAGGUCUGAGGCACGGUGGUACCAGAGGAGAUGAAGGGGCUUUCAGCAUGAAGCUGGUCCCCUGUCGACAGCACGCUGAUUUUCCCGUUGGGCUCUAUCAGCAUGUCCACUGUGAGACCAUGCUUGUGAAAAUACCAGGACGGUAAAUUAGUGAAUUCCAAAGUCAGGAUUUUUGUUGGAUCUGGCACAGUCACAGGAAAGUCUGAGUUUUCUCAAGGGCAUCCCUGUCUCACCGAGGGGCACCAAGGACAGACGACCAGAAGCAAAUGGCGCAGUCACCGUCAGAGGAGAGUAAAACUCAUUCUGAAACGGUUCCAAAUGCCCAUGCCUGCUCUGUGGUUUUCAGCAAAGCGGACCUUUCCAAAAGACCUCCAACAGGGACUUCCUGGAUGUGAGAACACUAACCAAUUCUCGUUCCUCUCAUCUUUUGCUUUAUUCCUUCCUUCCAUGCUGUUAUUGCGAAAAACUGGUAGUUAAAUUCAAUUGAUUCAAAAUAUUCGGGAUCCAUAUGGCCGCCAACCCUGGAGCUGAAGCGGCGAUAGCGCCUCACUGCUGUUUUCAAGCAUUUGCCUCUCCUCCAGUCCCCAGAUGGUGGGAGUAACAUUUAAACCUCCUUUUCUCUGCCUUGUACAAUAGACCUUGGCACCAUUUCAACUGUUUACUCCGGUAAUUAACAGCUCUGAUACCACAACAAUUACAACUCCUACACUCUCACCACAAUAAUGCUAUGAAUUAGUGAGAGCUAAUGGCUGGAAGGUAGAGUGUUUCCAGACUGUGGGAUCUGUGCAUUUUUAGAAUAAAAUAAAAGGUACAAACAGCACGCUUGCAGUAGACAAUGAUUACCUAGUAAUUAGUUUACACAAAGCUUCCUAUUUAAUGGCAAAACGCUGUAAUUAACGUGUGACAGAAAAUCAAAGGGUACUUUGUAAGCAUAUUAAAAAUUAACACUGCAGGCCCAUAGCUUUAUGUACUGAUUAGAAGCAUAUUAAAUCAAUAGGACACACAAACCAACAGCUUGGGUAGCUGAUUAUUAUAGGUCCUCAGAAGGGGUACCCUGGCUUUCAUUUCACUUGGGGAGGCAAUUUUCCUUCUCCUGUCAUCUUCCUCAGGCACAGAGAAACACCUCAAACUCAACCCUGGCAGCUUCAUGAAAAUAACCACUGAACUGGAAGAAAACAUUCUAAGUCAUUCUCAGAGAUGAAGACAAAUAUGUAAAUGAUUAAGACUUUCCAAUGAUUGUGGUGACGUGCUGCUACACUAAUUAGAAAAUACACCAACUGGAACCAGAAAAUAAAGCCACUGGGUUGCAAUCUUCCGGUCAGAAUAAUCUCUACUUUGUCAAGCCUCUUUAUUCAACUCAUAGAAAGUUCAAAUAAAUGGAACUGUUUUAUAUUUCUAAAUGAUAAGAAAGCAGGCUGCUAUGAAGACUUAUUCUUUCCAAGGCACUGUCUGGGUAAAGCAUAGGCUGGGAACAACUGGAUCAACCAACAUUCUGUAUCUUCAACAGCCACAACCCCAUAUAAUGAUGGCUGAUGGACAUAGACAGCAAUAUCCUGGAAGCCUACCAGAGCCUAAAGAACCUUCUGAAUCACCAAAGAAAGAUUAAGUUGUAUGUACUUGUUCAAUGUUACCUGUAUUUUGUUAUAAUACAAUUUUAUGGUAAUAAUAACAACAAUAAUAAUAGGUAGCAUUUCUUAAAGUCUUAUUAUGUGCUAAGCACACUGCUAGCCAAUUCAUAGAAUUAUCUCAUUUACUUGUCACCACUUCCCCAUGAGACAGGUACUAAUCUCUCUUUACAGAUAGAGAAAGGGAGACUUGGAGAGCUGAAGUAAUUUGCCUAUAGUUAUCCCCCAGGGAGCAUGGGAGUCUAACCUAGGUGUCCCUGGCUAUGGAACCCCAGGAAGCCAAACUACCUCUUAGUUACCCUGAAUGACUAGCCUGUUCCAACACUCAUUCUGCUUAAAAGGCAGUUUACUAUGUCAACCUGGAAUAGGAGACUAAAAAAAUUAAAACAAAAACAAAAUAUUUGGUUGCUUAUUUUUUUAAAAAACAGGGUGUUUCUGCUUUUAGAGAUAGGAGUCUUGUUCUGUCACCCAGGCUGGAGAGUGGUGGUGCAGUCAUGACUCAUUGCAGCCUCAAACUCCUGGGCUCGAGUGAUCCUCUUUCUUCAGGCUCCUAAGUAGCUGGAACUACAGGCACACACCUAAUUUUUAAAUUUUUUGUAGAGAUAGGGUCUCACUAUAUUGCCCAGGCUGGUCUUGAACUCCUGGCCUCAAGCCAACUCCCACCUCAGCCUUCCAAAGUGUUGGGAUUACAAAAUAUUACAGGAGUGAUCGACUGCACUGGGCUAAAAACAAGGGUUUUAAAUGCUUACCAUAUUUUUAAUGCUACAUCUGAUUGUGAAGGUGGGCUACUCAAAGCUUUUUGGGAAUUUACAGGCUCACUAAAAUGAUCACGAUAGUGUAUUAAAUUGAGAAAGGCAUUGAAAAUCUGUCAUUCCCAUGAACAACCAAAGGGUGAUGUCUAAAAUUCUCUCUCAUCACCCAUGCACAUAACCAGGUAUAUGAGGCAGUUGGGUUGCAAGAGCUGAAUCCUAGAAACUCCUAGGCAGGGCUCCUCCUCUCCAGCUCUGAGGUGUGUGUAUUGAUGGCCCCCUACACCUCCCAGUUUGCUGCCUUGUGGGAAAAGGAGACCAGCUCUUCUGUUAUCUAGGAAAGGGAAGAAAUUUGAGAGCAGUGGCCUCUGUGUUCCAGGAAUAUUUGCGUUUCCCACAAAUCUCUGGAAAGCAGAAAGCUUGCCACAAGGGCAGCACACGGUAUGAGUCACAAAGGCAAGGACCUGAGGGAGAACACUUCCCAGGACUUUCAAAUAAGGUCUUUCCUAAAUGUACUUGGCUCAGUGUGGCAAAAGCACUGGGCUAGCAGCAGUCAGAUGUGGGUUCAAAGCAAGGCACAAUCAUUUAUUAGCUAUAAAUUUGGGCAAGUCACUUCUUGAGAAUAAGUUUCUUCAUCUGUAAACAGAAGUAAUACCUUCCUUAUAUCUUAAAUUGGUGUGGAAGUAAAUGAGUAAAAACCUCAGGGUUUUUCUGAGUUUAAAUGAGACAAUUCAUGUAACGUGCUUAGCACAAUACCUGGUACCCAGUAGGUACUCUGCAGUAUUUAUUGAUGAUGAUGAUGAUGAUGAUGAUGAUGAUGAUGAUGACAAAGAAAUACAAGGAAAUGUCAACACCUUAACAGUGCAUUCAUAGAUCUACAAAAUGCUUAAUCUCAGUGUUCUGGCAACCACUAAAUACAUAAAGAUAAUCUAAGACAUCAAGAUUUCAACAUAUAAAAAUAAAUAUAAAAACAAGUGAACAAUAAUCAUUUAUAUGUAGUUUCAUGACUGGAAAAAAUAAUAACCUAGAUUUUUUCUUAACCUAGAAAAUCUAGAUUAAAAAAUAAAGAUCUUGCAUUUUUGAUAUAAAACACAAAUAAUAAGGACAUGAAAAAAGAAUAUCCCUUGCUAGUAAUCAAAUAAUAGCAAUGAGAAGCUGGAUUCUUAUAUCUAAAAUAAAAGUGCAAAUAGUUCAUAAUAUCCAUUGGUGGUAAGGUUGUGGUAAAACUAGUAUUCUUAUUCUCUGCCAGUUGCUUUGGAAAUUGGUACUAUCUUUUUAGGAAUAUGGCAAUAUGUAACAAAAGCCAUAAAAUAUUCUACUCCUGGGUCUUUCUCCUCGGGAAGUAACUCAACAGAAGCAAAAAGAGGUGUAUACAAAAACCAAAUAUAAAAACAAACAAAUCUUUCCUCCCUCUUUCCUCCCACUGCCAAAAAAUGAAAGCUGGGAAUAGCCUAAAUUUCCAACUUAGUUGAAUUGUUCAAUAUAUUAGAGUUCAUCAAUAUGAGAGAAUAUUAUGCAUCUAAUAAUUGUGACGACUAUGUAUAAACAUGGAAAAUAUUUAAGAUCUGAUGUUUAACUAGCAUAUACACUAUUAUUGUAGCUAUGAGAAAGAAAUACUGCAUAUUUAGAAAUUAAUAUACAAAAAUGAAAACAACUAUGUUUGGGGACAGUGAUUAUGUACUUUUAAAUUUUUUUUAAUCUUGUUAUCUUUAAACUUUUCUAAAAAUGAUGUGAUUACAAGCAAUGGCUCUUUGGGAUCACCUAAUAAAUACCUACUAAAUUCUAGACGGGACAACGAGCUCUGCCAUCCUGCAAUGGCUCCUGUGACCUAGUUCCAGGGCCAUUCUGAAUGGACAGAGGUCUUCACAAUGGAGGUGGAGAUGCAGGGAGCUCUAUGGCAUGAAAUGGUUAAUGAUUCUCUUUUGUAAUUGUGUUUUCUGUUUGCUGCCUUAGUUCUAAAAGGAGGCAAAACAACUGUGGUUUAUUCUACCUUUUCCAGGCAUAGUUCUUCUCCUACCUUUGUGAUCCCCAAAUUAAUAUCAAAUGUCUAAUUAGUUUUUUUCUCCAUUGGUGAUCCCCAAAUUAAUAUCAAAUGUCAGACAAAGUAAAUCAAAGUACAAAUAAAGGUAAAACUGCUCUUGCAAAGGGCUAAAAUAGCAAUGUUUACUAGAAGCAUUCAAGAGCCAGUUCAAUUUCCUAUUUCUCAUUAAGUGGUAAAAUAGUAAUGCCAAGACCACAUCCCAGAAUCUCCAGGGUAACAGAGGCCCAACGAAGGGCUGCAGAGAAACUUGAAAGUAAACUGGCUUAGUUCUUUACACACAGAAAUUGUUCUACAAAGAUCUCUUGCAAAGCAGUGUCACCAGUAGCAUCACUGCCACUAAGCCAAUGUCCCAGGAAUUGAGGAAAGGAAGACACCCUUAAAGAAAAAAAUGGAAAAAAGCCACAAGGACUGGUACCACAGUAAAUGUCUGCCUGGGUCUCCCUAAACUGUCUUAGGUGAGCUUACCCAGGAAUGUUUCUCCCCUACAUGUUUGCCUUCCUUUGUUUAAGCCUUUAUUCCUCCUAAAUGAAAAUAAAUACCCCCGACUGGGGAACGUGGAGUUUGGAGUGUGUGCAAGAGUGUGGAUUCAUUAAAACUUAACGAGCAGAGUACUUAAGUGAAUGAGUUUACUGGAACUUGUUGGGGGAAGUAGGUUUUGUUAGCUGGU